rnacentral:rRNA from 1 species
GCCUGGUAGUGGGGGAUAACGUCCGGAAACGGACGCUAAUACCGCAUACGUCCUACGGGAGAAAGCAGGGGACCUUCGGGCCUUGCGCUAUCAGAUGAGCCUAGGUCGGAUUAGCUAGUUGGUGGGGUAAUGGCUCACCAAGGCGACGAUCCGUAACUGGUCUGAGAGGAUGAUCAGUCACACUGGAACUGAGACACGGUCCAGACUCCUACGGGAGGCAGCAGUGGGGAAUAUUGGACAAUGGGCGAAAGCCUGAUCCAGCCAUGCCGCGUGUGUGAAGAAGGUCUUCGGAUUGUAAAGCACUUUAAGUUGGGAGGAAGGGCAGUAAAUUAAUACUUUGCUGUUUUGACGUUACCGACAGAAUAAGCACCGGCUAACUCUGUGCCAGCAGCCGCGGUAAUACAGAGGGUGCAAGCGUUAAUCGGAAUUACUGGGCGUAAAGCGCGCGUAGGUGGUUCGUUAAGUUGGAUGUGAAAUCCCCGGGCUCAACCUGGGAACUGCAUUCAAAACUGACGAGCUAGAGUAUGGUAGAGGGUGGUGGAAUUUCCUGUGUA